rnacentral:rRNA from 1 species
UGCGGAGGGAUCAUUACUGAGUUAUUAAAACUCCAAACCCUUUGUGAACCUUACUGUCGUUGCCUCGGCGUGAGCUACGGCUACCCUGUAGUUACCCUAUAGCUACCCUGCAGCUACCCUAUAGUUGACCAGUGGCUACCCUGUAGUUACCCUAUAGCUACCCUGCAGCUACCCUAUAGUUGACCAGUAGCUACCCUGUAGCCGGCUUAUGGCCCGCCGAAGGACCGCUAAACUCUUGUUUUUUACCACUGUUUCUCUGAAUUGUAAACUUAAAUAAGUUAAAACUUUCAACAACGGAUCUCUUGGUUCUGGCAUCGAUGAAGAACGCAGCGAAAUGCGAUAAGUAAUGUGAAUUGCAGAAUUCAGUGAAUCAUCGAAUCUUUGAACGCACAUUGCGCCCAUUAGUAUUCUAGUGGGCAUGCCUAUUCGAGCGUCAUUUCGACCCUUAAGCCCCUGUUGCUUAGCGUUGGGAAUCUACAGCGUAGUUCCUUAAAGUUAGUGGCGGAGUUGGGGUACACUCUCAGCGUAGUAAUCUUUCUCGCUCGUGUGGUGGCCCUGGCUGCUAGCCGUUAAACCCCUAUAUUUUCUAGUGGUUGACCUCGGAUUAGGUAGGAAUA